GAUGAAGAACGCAGCGAAAUGCGAUAAGUAAUGUGAAUUGCAGAAUUCAGUGAAUCAUCGAAUCUUUGAACGCACAUUGCGCCCGCCAGUAUUCUGGCGGGCAUGCCUGUUCGAGCGUCAUUUCAACCCUCAGGCCCCCAGUGCCUGGUGUUGGGGAUCGGCCCAGCCUUCCUGUAAGGCCGCCGGCCCCGAAAUCUAGUGGCGGUCUCGCUGUAGUCCUCCUCUGCGUAGCAGCACAACCUCGCAGUUGGAACGCGGCGGUGGCCAUGCCGUUAAACACCCCACUUCUGAAAGUUGACCUCGGAUCAGGUAGGAAUACCCGCUGAACUUAAGCAUAUCAAUAAGCGGAGGA
rnacentral:misc_RNA from 1 species